rnacentral:sRNA from 1 species
AUUCUGCCCAUGCGGGGAAGGAUGAGAAGCUUCGACCAAGGUUCGACUCGAGCGCCAGCGAGAGAGCGUUGCCGCAGGCAACGA